rnacentral:rRNA from 1 species
CCCUUAGAUUGUCUGGGCGGCACGCGCGCUACAAUGAUGCAUUCAAAAAGUCUUCUGACCUUAGAAGGUUGGGCAUUCUCCAAAGUGCAUCGUGAUGGGAAUAGUUUAUUGCAAUUUUUAAUCUUGAACGAGGAAUUCCUAGUAAGUACAGGUCAUCAACUUGUGUUGAUUACGUCCCUGCCCUUUGUACACACCGCCCGUCGCUCCUACUGAUUGAGUGUCUCGGUGAAUUCGUUGAUCUUCUGUCGAUUCAGUUCACUGAUCCGACGGUGGAAAGUUGAAUGAACUUCGUCACUUAGAGGAAGGAGAAGUCGUAACA